AGACGAAAGAGAAACGUUUUACGAAUUCGUAAUAAGAAAAAAGGAAAGGAAAGAAAGAAAAAAAGGAAGAAAAAAAAGUAGGAAGGAAUGAGAGAUAAAUGGAGAAUAUCUUAUCGAUGCUCAACAACAAAGUUAAAUUAUCGUUGACGCUAAAACGGAGAAAGUGCAUCUAAUAGCAAUUUGUCAAAGACUUUGUAUCCGCAAAAAAGGGAAGGAGGACUUCUCAUUAGAGAGACUCUUGACGUAAGCGUCUCGAUGUCCAGAUACUUGUUUCAAAGGAAGAGACCAGGCGGACGAGAAAUACUUCAAGAGUAAGUGAAGAGAGAGAGAGAGAGAGAGAGAGAGAGAAAGAGAGAAGAGGGUCAGUGGCAAUUAAGUGUGAGAGAGUAAGCCUCAAAGAUUUCAGGCGUGUUCCCUUUUGCUACGGUUCUCUGCUCACUGGGUCAAGUUCAACUCGACCGAAGGAGAAAGAGGAAGGAAAGGGAAUGAAAGGGAAUGAGAGGGAGCGAGAAGAUUCUCUCUACUUUGAAGGAGGCGUAGGACACGGAAGAGAGAAAGAGAGAGAGAUGGAAGUAACUGAGCCUCUUCUCCUGCUCCAUUCCCAAGUACCACCGAUCGAUGUUUCACCGAGAUAACAGGGUAUCUCACGCCGAAAGCGAAGGUUUGCAAAGCGUGCCCCGUUUGCUUCUCUCUCACACGGAGAAAGCAGAUUACCAUCGACCACAUUCCUGGGAAGAGGAUCGUGAUGUGCCGGCAGCACGUGCUCUCUUGCGCACCUCGUGCUGCUCGAUUUGCUCGACAAACAGCCUGCAUGAGAUAAAGAGAGACAUAUAUACAUAUACGGACACACAAACACACAUACAGAAAGAGAGAGAGAGAGAGAGAAUGGAACGAGAACAGGUGGGGUAGUCCCUCUCGCGUAUGCGUUUCGCGUAUAAACAACUCGAUGUGUAACGACCGGCACACCACCAGCAACAACACCACCAUCAGUAGCAGCAGCAGCAGCAAGCAGUAGCAGCAUCAGAAGCCAAUAGGUGUAUUUAAUCCUUUCGAAUAUACAUACCAUAUAUAUAUAUAUAUAUAUAAGCCCUCGAGCUAGAGUGUUAAGCAUUUAUUUAUACCUGAUUA